rnacentral:rRNA from 1 species
UACGUAGGGUGCGAGCGUUAAUCGGAAUUACUGGGCGUAAAGCGUGCGCAGGCGGUUUGGUAAGACAGAUGUGAAAUCCCCGGGCUUAACCUGGGAACUGCAUUUGUGACUGCCCGGCUAGAGUGUGUCAGAGGGGGGUAGAAUUCCACGCGUAGCAGUGAAAUGCGUAGAUAUGUGGAGGAAUACCGAUGGCGAAGGCAGCCCCCUGGGAUAACACUGACGCUCAUGCACGAAAGCGUGGGGAGCGAACAGG